GACGAACGCUGGCGGCGUGCCUAAUACAUGCAAGUCGAACGCAGUUGCGAACGGUUGAGUACCGCGUAUGUAACUGCCUCAUAGCGGGGGAUAACUAUUGGACACGAUAUCUAAUACCGCAUCCUGUGCGCUGCACCUGCGUUGUAUUAGCUACUUGGUGAGGUAAAGGCUCACCAAGGCGACGAUACAUAGCCGACAUGAGAGGGGGAUCGGCCACACUGGGAUUGAGACACGGCCAAGACGCCUACGGUAGGAAGCAGUAGGGAAUCUUCGGACAUGGACGGAAGGCUGACCGAGCAACGCGGGGGGAGUGAAGAAGGUUUUCGGAUCGUAAAGAUCUGUUGUUAGAGAAGCGGUAAAUAAAGAGAAAGGGACGGCUAACUACGUGCCAGCCGCAGCGGUAAGAG
rnacentral:rRNA from 1 species